ACACAUGCAAGUCGAACGAGAAUCUACUGAAAGAGUUUUCGGACAAUGGAUGUAGAGGAAAGUGGCGGACGGGUGAGUAACGCGUGAGGAACCUGCCUUGAAGAGGGGGACAACAGUUGGAAACGACUGCUAAUACCGCAUGACGCAUAGAGGUCGCAUGAUCUUUAUGCCAAAGAUUUAUCGCUUCAAGAUGGCCUCGCGUCUGAUUAGCUAGUUGGCGGGGUAACGGCCCACCAAGGCGACGAUCAGUAGCCGGACUGAGAGGUUGAACGGCCACAUUGGGACUGAGAUACGGCCCAGACUCCUACGGGAGGCAGCAGUGGGGAAUAUUGGGCAAUGGGCGCAAGCCUGACCCAGCAACGCCGCGUGAAGGAAGAAGGCUUUCGGGUUGUAAACUUCUUUUAAGAGGGAAGAGCAGAAGACGGUACCUCUAGAAUAAGCCACGGCUAACUACGUGCCAGCAGCCGCGGUAAUACGUAGGUGGCAAGCGUUGUCCGGAUUUACUGGGUGUAAAGGGCGUGCAGCCGGGUCUGCAAGUCAGAUGUGAAAUCCAUGGGCUCAACCCAUGAACUGCAUUUGAAACUGUAGAUCUUGAGUGUCGGAGGGGCAAUCGGAAUUCCUAGUGUAGCGGUGAAAUGCGUAGAUAUUAGGAGGAACACCAGUGGCGAAGGCGGAUUGCUGGACGAUAACUGACGGUGAGGCGCGAAAGUGUGGGGAGCAAACAGGAUUAGAUACCCUGGUAGUCCACACUGUAAACGAUGAAUACUAGGUGUGCGGGGACUGACCCCCUGCGUGCCGCAGUAAACACAAUAAGUAUUCCACCUGGGGAGUACGAUCGCAAGG
rnacentral:rRNA from 1 species